rnacentral:lncRNA from 1 species
GAUAGCACAGUUGUAAUCAAAGCUUCAAACCUUGGGCAUUUGAUGCCAAUAGCUAUACUCUUAACCGCUGUGAUCUUCUCUCCCAUGGACAGGACGGUCCUGGGCUUUACUGUUACAGAGGAAGUUGGACAAGAAACAAAUAAAUGAACAAGCAAGAGAACUGUCUGAGAGAGAUUGUAUACAAGUGUUGUGAAGAGACUUAAAAUAUGCAGGCUGGAUAAGGAGUACUGAGGUUUGGGCUGGUGCUCUGAAAGACUUUCUGUCCUGAGGCCGUUUUCCAGCACAAUUUCACAGGGACAAGUUUGAACGAGGAAUCUUCUGGUGAGAAUGGACAUUCUCAUUCCUCUACAUAUGCACACCAGAC